rnacentral:snoRNA from 1 species
AAAUUGUGGUGUGGACAACAUCUCAGCAGGUCCUAGUACCUCUCCCAUGUAUCAUACAUGCUCUCAUCAUCACACUGCGUAAAAGAAGAAAUAUCAUUAUGCAUCU